UGUUAUUUUUGUAAUGUUAGUUGGGAAAUAAGCAUUGGUUGAGAAUCGGGAGAAAUUCAAAACAAUUGUAGCCAGAUGGAACAGUGAAUUGUGCCUGCUGUUUCCAGCAGGAGGGAAGACGGUGUGGGACCUUCCUCCACAGGUGGCCUUUAAAGCGUGCCCCUCAGGUGCUCAGGUUGGUGUCCAGUCCAGAAGGGGAGAGAUGCUGACUGACCUCCUGAAUUCCUCCAGCAUUUUGUGCAUGCUGCUAAAGAAUCAGUUACUACUACCUUAAAAGAAAACAAAUGGAUCCAUAGUUUAACAUUAAUCUGAAAGAUACUACUGUUGUCAGUUCAGUGAAGAUUCAACACAGACUUUUGUGAUCAAGCGUCUGUUUUCAUGGGGCAGUCACUUCCACCUCACUUCUUUAUUCAGUUCCCUUGCCCGUAUUUGGCUGAAGUAUCUAUUGAGCUCUGGAGUCUAUUCAUCCUGGUGGAACCCAGAGUGAAUAUCAGAAGGUUAAUGGUUGACAGCUGGCUGACGUUAUUUUUGGUUUGCUGCUGGCGGCAAAUUUAAGUUUGGCGUUUUUCAUAAAUACAAGAAGGACUCAAAUAGACGUUGAGUAUUUUACUUAAAAGUAACCUUCAACCCAACGUCUUUUUUUCGGAGUUCAAAAUGUUUUUGUUGCAUGCAGAAAUGUAAUUUCGUUUUCU